AUACGGAGGGUGCAAGCGUUAAUCGGAAUUACUGGGCGUAAAGCGUGCGUAGGCGGUUUAUUAAGUCAGAUGUGAAAGCCCCGGGCUUAACCUGGGAACUGCAUUUGAUACUGGUAGACUAGAGUAUGGUAGAGGGGGGUAGAAUUCCUAGUGUAGCGGUGAAAUGCGUAGAUAUUAGGAGGAAUACCAGUGGCGAAGGCGGCCCCCUGGACCAAUACUGACGCUGAGGUACGAAAGCGUGGGUAGCGAACAGGAUUAGAAACCCCAGUAGUCC
rnacentral:rRNA from 1 species